AGUGAACGCUGGCGGUAGGCCUAACACAUGCAAGUCGAACGGCAGCACAGUAAGAGCUUGCUCUUACGGGUGGCGAGUGGCGGACGGGUGAGGAAUACAUCGGAAUCUACUUUUUCGUGGGGGAUAACGUAGGGAAACUUACGCUAAUACCGCAUACGACCUACGGGUGAAAGCAGGGGAUCUUCGGACCUUGCGCGAGUGAAUGAGCCGAUGUCGGAUUAGCUAGUUGGCGGGGUAAAGGCCCACCAAGGCGACGAUCCGUAGCUGGUCUGAGAGGAUGAUCAGCCACACUGGAACUGAGACACGGUCCAGACUCCUACGGGAGGCAGCAGUAGGGAAUAUUGGACAAUGGGCGCAAGCCUGAUCCAGCCAUACCGCGUGGGUGAAGAAGGCCUUCGGGUUGUAAAGCCCUUUUGUUGGGAAAGAAAAGCAGCAGGUUAAUACCCCGCUGUUCUGACGGUACCCAAAGAAUAAGCACCGGCUAACUUCGUG
rnacentral:rRNA from 1 species